AGCAUGUUAGCUCAGGGGAAGAGCGCCGGGCUCAUAACCCGGAGGUACGUCAUUAUCCCAUCUUAAAUACUACUCAGUCGAGCAAUUUCUAACAAGCACCAGGUCCCUGGAUCGAAACCAGGACAUGCUA